UUCUAAAGCAGUUUUCACAGCCACAAAGCACUCGAUUUCCAAGGACACACUAGAGGGAACUCUCUAAGCACAAACAUUUCCAAAUGUUCCUUUAGGCUGACUGUAAAUGGCAUGAUUCACCCCCCUCAGACUGUCCCCUAGCAACGAGUACAACCAUCAACAAAGCUCCACCAUUCAUCUGCUGUCUGAAGUGUCUUGUGCAGUCACUACAUAAGACAUAGGAAGAAGGCUGAGCUACAAACCUCCUAAAGCUCUAUCUUCUGUUGGAUGAACUCAGGCAGCACAACCACUUAUCUCAAGCCAAGGAAAAAACUACAGCUUUACUUGCUCUACUGGAUGGAAAUUACUGAAGAAAGCAGCUGGGUGUUCUUUCCCACGUAUGAAUUAAUGCAUUUUGAUAAAGCUUAUUGAAAUAUCUCCUCCCACAAUUCAAAUGAAAGGAAAUCUGACGUGUCAAUUUUUGAAGGAAAAAUCCACAGAAUGCUAAUUCACAACUGACAGUCUUUCAAAUUAGCAGUGGAAAUCUGUUAUUUAGACAAAUCAACUUGGUAGAGAUACUUGGGAGGCUUCCAGCUUCAUGGAAGUA